rnacentral:rRNA from 1 species
AUACAGCGAAACUGCGAAUGGCUCAUUAUAUAAGUUAUCGUUUAUUUGAUAGCACCUUACUACUUGGAUAACCGUGGUAAUUCUAGAGCUAAUACAUGCACAAAAUCCCGACUCACGAAGGGAUGUAUUUAUUAGAUACAAAACCAAUGCCCUCCGGGGCUCACUGGUGAUUCAUGAUAACUUCGCGAAUCGCACAGCCUUGCGCUGGCGAUGGUUCAUUCAAAUUUCUUCCCCAUCAACUUUCGAUGUUUGGGUAUUGGCCAAACAUGGUUGCAACGGGUAACGGAGGGUUAGGGCUCGACCCCGGAGAAGGAGCCUGAGAAACGGCUACUACAUCCAAGGAAGGCAGCAGGCGCGCAAAUUACCCACUCCCGACACGGGGAGGUAGUGACAAUAAAUACUGAUACAGGGCUCUAUUGGGUCUUGUAAUUGGAAUGAGUACAAUUUAAAUCUCUUAACGAGGAACAAUUGGAGGGCAAGUCUGGUGCCAGCAGCCGCGGUAAUUCCAGCUCCAAUAGCGUAUAUUAAAGUUGUUGUGGUUAAAAAGCUCGUAGUUGAACCUUGGGCCUGGCUGGCCGGUCUGCCUCACCGCACGCACUGGACCGGCCGGGCCUUUCCCUCUGUGGAACCCCAUGCCCUUCACUGGGUGUGGCGGGGAAACAGGACUUUUACUUUGAAAAAAUUAGAGUGCUCCAGGCAGGCAUAUGCUCGAAUACAUUAGCAUGGAAUAAUAAAAUAGGACGCGUGGUUCUAUUUUGUUGGUUUCUAGGACCGCCGUAAUGAUUAAUAGGGACAGUCGGGGGCAUCAGUAUUCAAUUGUCAGAGGUGAAAUUCUUAGAUUUAUUGAAGACUAACUACUGCGAAAGCAUUUGCCAAGGAUGUUUUCAUUAAUCAGGAACGAAAGUUAGGGGAUCGAAGACGAUCAGAUACCGUCGUAGUCUUAACCAUAAACUAUGCCGACUAGGGAUCGGACGAUGUUUUUCAUUGACUCGUCCGGCACCUUCCGAUAAAUCAAAGUGC